rnacentral:tRNA from 1 species
AUGUAGCUCAGUGGUAGAGCACUUGCCUAGCAUGCACAAUGCUAUGGGUUCAAUACCCAGCAU